GCCGGAUUAGCUCAGUGGUAGAGCAGUUGAUUUGUAAUCAUCAGGUCAUCGGUUCAAAUCCGAUAUCCGGCU
rnacentral:tRNA from 1 species